UACGUAGGGUGCAAGCGUUAAUCGGAAUUACUGGGCGUAAAGGGCGCGUAGGCGGCCUCUGCAAGUCGACUGUGAAAUCUCCGGGCUUAACCCGGAACGGUCAGCCGAUACUGCAGGGCUAGAGUGCAGAAGGGGCAACUGGAAUUCUCGGUGUAGCAGUGAAAUGCGUAGAUAUCGAGAGGAACACCUGCGGCGAAGGCGGGUUGCUGGGCUGACACUGACGCUGAAGUGCGAAAGCUAGGGGAGCGAACGGG
rnacentral:rRNA from 1 species